AGUAAAAUUGGGUUAAUAUUAAUUAUAAAAAUAGAAAAUAAAAUUGAAGCUAGUGAUUUUUAGGGUUAGACUAGGAUUAGAUACCCUUUUAUUCUAAAAGUUAUAUUGAUAUCUUUAGUUAGUAGUAGAUAGAUACUUAAAAUCUAAAAAAUUUGGCGGUAAUUUAAUCUUUUCAGAGGAACCUGUUUUUUAAUCGAUAAACCACGAAGUAUCUUGCUUAUUUAAGUAUAAUUUGUAUACCGUCAUUAUCAGGUAAUUCUAAAAGGAUAAAUUACUAGAAAAAAUAAUUUAGGAAAAUUAGAUCAUGGUGCAGUUUAUAAAUAAGUUAAAAUGGGUUACAAUAAUUUAUAUUAUACGGAUGUAUAGAAUAAUAUCUAUUUAGAAGGAGGAUUUGAUUGUAUUUUUAAGUUUAAUACGCUUAAAAGAUGUUAGCUCUAAAUUAUGUACAUAUCGCCCGUCGCUUUCAUUUAUAGAU
rnacentral:rRNA from 1 species